GCAAAGCCCCUCAGCACAGGGACAGACAGCCCCUCUGCAUCCGCCAAGCGGGGAGGCUCCGUGUAAGACCAAGGGCCUGAUUCCAGAGGCUUCCCCUGACACAUGUGUGCCGGAGCCACGUCCCGGAACUGUCAGAGGGCAGCUGCCUCUGCAAAGUUUUCUGGUGUCUGAGUGAGAUCACAUGGGGGCCUUGGCUGAUUGCUCUCUUUUGGCCAACUGUCUCCAGAAGCCUUCAGGAAGAGGCCAUUCUAUGCAUUCGCUAGUAUCACAGGAGCUGGCUUGGAGAUCACAGAUAAGCUGCAGGGCAGAUCUUGAGGGGAGGCUCCGUGGUAAGGCAUUGGGUGCAGGGUGGGAGCAGACAGCAUGACCCCCAGGGAUUGCUAGGUGGGCACCCUGCUCAGCAGCAGAUGGGACUUAUGCAAGGUGGCAGCCAGCCCAUACAGCACCUUUGUCUGAGCUAGAAAAUGGUGCUCCUUCUUCUGGGAAGACUCAGUAGGCAUCAGGGCACAGCUUAGCUUGAGGAGCAUGAGCCUAGCUUGAGUUCCACCCACCCUGGUCUGGCUGCCCUUGUGCAGUGCACAGUCUGCACAGCUGCUUGGGGCAGCCUUCGGGAUCUGCCUU
rnacentral:lncRNA from 10 species